rnacentral:rRNA from 1 species
CCCUUAGAUGUCCUGGGCCGCACGCGCGUUACACUGAUGCAUUCAACGAGCUUAUAACCUUGGCCGAGAGGCCUGGGCAAUCUUGUUAACGUGCAUCGUGAUAGGGAUAGAUUAUUGAAAUUAUUAAUCUUGAACGAGGAAUUCCUAGUAAACGCAGAUCAUCAAUCUGCAUUGAUUACGUCCCUGCCCUUUGUACACACCGCCCGUCGCACCUACCGAUCGAAGAGUUAGGUGAAUUGUCUUGAUCGAUAAGAUUUGACUAUGGUCAACUCUCGUUGUGAAAUUCUGUGAAUCUGACUGUUUAGAGGAAGGAAAAGUCGUAACA